GGUGAACUUAGAUGGGUCAGUCGAUCAGACAAUCCCAGUUGUAUGGACCAGGCCGAGCCGGGAAGAUUUGGGUUUGAAUUAAGGAAUCCAUUUUCAAAACAGAACUCUAAAAACCAGGAAAACAAGUUGAGAGACGAAGUAGGAAGAAGAAGAAGAUGGCGAAGCCAUUGCUAGUGUUGUGUUCAGUUUUGAUAUUUUCUAUUUUCUCUAUAGCCGUGUCAAUCGAAGAAAAAUGUGGAGCUUGCAUCGCUGUUGCGGAGGAGCUAGAGCUUGGUAUAUUGACGGAAAAACCGAGGAAUCAUUUGGAUAUGAGACAUCGUUUGGACUCAAAAGGUCAGCGUGUAGGAAAAGUAAUUGAUUACAGAGUCAGUGAGCUUAGAGUUGUUGAACUCUUGGAGGGGCUUUGUGAUAAGAUGCUAGAUUACACUCUUGAGAAGGUAGAUUCAACCAGAAGGGAGUGGCUCAAAGUAGAUCACUGGGACAACCUUACAAUUAGUAAACAAGAAGCUAAAGCAUAUGCGAAAGAUAUCUCCUCUUAUUGUGGAAGGUUACUUGAGGAAACUGAAGACGAGCUGGCAGAAUUGAUAAAGAAAGGAUCUAUUCAAGCAGGAGAUGUGAACAAGGUUCUCUGCCAAGAUUUAAGCAAGCAGUGUGACUUGUCAAGGUAUGCUGAAUGUGGAUUUUGUAAUUUCUUUGCUUAACAAAUAGUAGCUGCAACCAUGCAACUUCCAGUGCAGAAGGGCCCUUUUGUCAGCCAUAAUUUUGCACUCUGCUUAUAGCUUGUCAUGCAUUGCAUGGUAACUUCAACCAUAGUUGUCAAAGGCGAAAAGCGUCAAAAGGCAAUGAAGAGUCGUAUUGCCUAAGUGAAAAAGUGGUACACAGUUGGUGGAUGAUGACAACAAUGGAUCCGAUGGCGAACUGUAAGUCGCAAACUUAUUUUGAUCGGUAUACAAUUUGACUAAGCAAGCCAAUUAUCUAGGAAAUUUAUCUAAGAUGGGCAUCCUUCCUAAAGCGGUUAGGUUAUCGUAAAGUGAGAAUAGCUUAUUCUUCAAGACUGAUCAAAUUUUGUUUCUAAUUUUCAUAGGGCUGGGAGAGUAAUAGGAACAUGCUUGAUUUACUUUUAAUCUUCAGCCAUAGUCAGUGUAAUCUUAUAAUGGAUAUGAACAAUAUUUUCAUCCUUUCUUUUA